AAAGAAGAAGACCGACAUGAAUACUUGACUCCUGUAGCUUCUGGUAUCCUCAUCCUCCCAGAUCCUGACAUUAGGCUGAACAUCUGUGCUGGAUUUAGAGGUGGUGUAUUCUCACCUUUUAAGUAAUGGAUAUUUUAGUGAAAAGGUGGUAUCAGGGCCUGCUGUCUAGAUGCCAUUUUUAGGAAGAAGUGUCAGAAAGUUUUUAAGACUGCAAGGAAAGAGAACACUCUCAGGGGGUUGAUACCAACAGGGGUGGAAGUCAAAAUGAGGACAAAGUGAGGCCCUGAGCGUCAGAGAUCAAGGCCAAGAGGGCAUAGCAGAGGGAAUCCAGUUCCAGACAGGCUUGCAGUGCUAUGGAGAUAUAAAGUUCAAGAACACAACAUGCGUGCUUUCGAGGAGCGUAUCAUUAUUCAGGAAGUCAAGACACCAGUGAAUGAAAAGAAAACUCACUUUCUGCAAUAGCGCAAAAGAGCAGUGAAGAUGGUGCUCAGAUGAACUGUAAGUGUUCAGAUGAGGGAAACCAUGGAAGACAUCAUGGAGGAGAUUUCUUCUGUUCCUGGUAGAAUUGUGAGAUGCUGCAUCUGCGUUCCAGCUUUCAAGAAU
ensembl:lncRNA novel transcript